GGAAACUUGUUAAGAAUCAGAGGGUAAGAUUUCUCAGUACACCUGGAAAGACUCUCCCUGGAGUAAUGUUGGUGCUGCACUAAAUCAGAUACAGCAGAACCAGUCAUCAUUAGGUGCCCAGCCUGGUGUAGUAGGUACCCCUACCACUGUCUAUGGUCAAUCUAUGGAAACUUGUUAAGAAUCAGAGGGUAAGAUGUCUCAGUACACCUGGAAAGACUCUCCCUGGAGUAAUGUUGGUGCUGCACUAAAUCAGAUACAGCAGAACCAGUCAUCAUUAGGUGCCCAGCCUGGUGUAGUAGGUACCCCUACCACUGUCUAUGGUCAAUCUAUGGUGAGCAGUAAUGGGUUAACAGGAGCUACAACAUUAUACUCUACUCCACAGCAAACCAUGCAACAAAGACAAAAUAUUGCCAUACAACAGAAAGAAAUGUACCCAAAUUGUGCUGCAUUCAACCCCGGUGAGGUAAAUGGGUACCAGCAGGAAGUAAUUCCUCAAAAAGCUGUGGGUACCGGCAGGAAGUAAUUCAAAAAGCUGUGUGUACCGGACUCAAUAGGCUAUCUUAGCCGUGGUAUUGUAGGUGCACCUUGAGCACUGAGCAAGGUGGAUACUUGCGCUAUACAAAUCAUAUAUUUAUUUAAAGAGGAUGAAUUCAAAGAGAAGACUAGUAAAUUCUUUUAAGCAAAUCAGACAAUUAGAAAUUUAGAAAUUUUUGAAAGGUCUAAUUACUAUUCGUAAGGAGAUCAUAUUUUUUUAGUAUUUCAUACUUUCUUUUUUAAAUGAUAAUACUGUGUGUUUCAUGCCAUAAAUUUUCCCUAAAAUUGUAUUCAACACAUGUCUAUUGCAAAUAAGUUGAAAUCUGAUUUGUUUUUUCCGCACAGAAUAAUUUGUCCUAAAUCUUUUUUUACAAGGACCCUUUGCAAGAGGAAUUUUAUAUUAGGAAAAAGGGUGGUCUUACUGUGCUUUAUUAGAAAUGGGGACAACAAGUCAGUUUGUAAAUAAAUGCCCUUGAUGUGCAUAUAAGAUACGCUUACACUGUUCAUACAAUAUCUAACCCAUCUAUUUGGAUUACACAUAUAUACUGCUUGUCCCUGCACUAAAUUCAUGUGGUUGAAAAUUAUUGUAGUUAAAAUUAGACUGAUAAUUUGCACAAAUUCCUGUUAUUCAACCUCCCCUGCACAAAUGAAGAUUAAUGAAUAAAUCAUACUUUGAAUUUAUGAUUAUUGAUAAGAUAUUUUAAGAUGCAUAUUUAUUAAAUAGAUAUGACAUUGAAAUAGAAUUGUGGUACUUUAAUGGAAUAUCAUAGAAUAUGUAAACCAUAAUGAAUAAUAGAAAUCUAUACAAUUGUACACACAUGAGCAUACCUUCUGUUAUUCAUUAUAAAAAUUCAAUGGAUGAAGUUUGUCUUGCAUUAAAAUAAAUUAUCUGAAUUUAUAGAUAAAAUCAUUAGACCUCUAUCUAUGGUUUAUUCCCCCUUUUUGACUAAUUAUACAUGUAAAAUAUAGUCUAAUGUCAAAUCUCUAUUAUAGAUUAUAGAUAAACAUUUAGUUUUGUUUUGGAAGAGGUCAAAGCCAGACAAACCCAUGGCAUAUUUAUAUUCACAUGUCUUAUAAAUCCUUAGCCAUUCCAAUAUUUGUGGAUAGUUAAGUGGUGUGUAUGGGGUUUUUGGCUUUCCAUAUACAGUGCAUCCAAAAACAAAACAAAAACACUUUUGAAAUGGCUGCCAUAUAAAAUAUAUAUUACUUUGGGGAGAAAGACUUGUAUGUAUGGAAAGCCAAUAAAGUCAACUUUCAAAUGACACCCAAAAGUUGGAAAACUAUUCAUGCUUGAGCGAGCACUGCCCACUGAAACAAAGGAUGUGGAAAUUAAAUGCAUGAGUGUUAAUAGACUGCAAUUUUUGUGCAGCACUUUGACUUUAUCAUGUGGAUCUCAGUAAUGUGUUCAUGAGAGUCAGGAGAGUCGGGGGGGGGGGGUAAGAUAGGACUUAAGUAGGUGAUGUAUGUUAAUGGGAUAAAGGUCAACAGAACAUUUGGCAACCCCUCCCCUCAUUUUUACCACCCGGGGGGGGGGGGGGGGCACUCAGUAUAUAAUGCAUAGUGGGUAUGUGCCGCGGAGGGGACCCCCAUUUUUACACUCAAAUUUCCGUUCCAAGGCAUAGCAUUUUUGUCUUAUUGAGAAAAAGAACAUAGAAAGCCGCUCCAAAGCAUAGCAUUAUCUUCUCAUUGAGAAAAAAAGAAGAAAUGUAUGUUGAUACAUGUAGUUAAGUGGUGUGUAUGGGUUUGUUUGUUUUUUGCUUUCUGUAUUGUUACACAGAGUGCUACAUGUAUAUUUGUGAUUAUGUGUUGAUUAUAAAAGAAUAUGUUCAAAGUGAUUUGAAUUCAGCUACAUUUAUAUGGUUUAAAUGAGAAUUAAUGUGCAAUAAAAUUUAUUUAUAUGUACCAAAUU